CACUUCAAUCCAAGUUCCUGUCUCAGAUAGACCUUCACUCUGACAACCUGACAAAGCUGUUCCAAAAGAGAGGGGGACAAAUAGGGAAAGGUCUCCAGUCAUGUUCUCAAUGAUUGCUUGAUUGUGAUAUAGAUGCUGGCUGGGAGUGUCUCCUGAAGGGACUUUGUAUGUACAUGGGGGAAGAUCCUGAAAACCUUGUGCAGGAAUAUGUGGGCAUGGAUGAAGUUGAUGUCAGUGAAUCCAUUGAAGACGCUACUGUCGGGAUUUACGUUCGGAGAGAACAUGAAUCAAGUGAACCGGAGGACAUUUGUUUCUUUUUUUGAUGCGCAAAGGACUUCAACACAUCUCACUUUUUGGUCUCUUGUUCAUCUCUCACUCUCUCUUUUUCUCUGUCACACCAACACACACAUACUAACAAACACACGCACCUCACACCCAUCCACAUAACUCCAGCGACAAACUCCAGUGUAAUUUUUGCCACCAUGUUUGGCUCGCAGCAUAGACCACCAUUGUCUUCCUCUCUCUAUCCCCUUCUCUUCCUCUCUUUCUCUUCCCUUCUCACUCUCUCUCCUUCCCUCUCUCACUCCUCUCUCUUUCUGUGUAGGAUGUCUACUGUACUGUA